CCAGAAUGAAAUUUAAGAAUCAAUUACAUGUUUACAUGAUGCAUAUUACAUGUGACAUAUUGUACAGUACAAAAAGUGCUAAUAAUUGCAUAUACAUAUCAGGAACAGGAAAUUGCUUAAAAAAAAACAAAAAAAACUUUGUUUGAAUAACACAAUUUGCCAGUAUAAACAAAUGAAAUGGCUUUUAGAUUAUACAGAAAAAGGUGAAGUGCAAGGUAUCCAAUAGUUGUAAUCAAUUUUUUGAGGGAAAGGUAGUGUUGAAGGUAGUUAGAUACCAUGUGGUAAUUCAGGCAGCAUAAUAAAUAUUAUAGCUAUCCUACAUCUCAUAAAUCCAACUUUGCUCACUCAUCACUCACAGCCAGAGGGUUUGUCUUUCUUCAAAAUGGCAUGAACAUUAUGCCUCCGCUCCUCCCACGCCAGUCGACAAGGGAGGCAUAAUGUGCACUUGCAGUACGACUUUCCCCAUAGGAAAGCAUUAUACAUUGCUUUGAUAUGCUGUUUGGGUGACGCUGGAUCAGGGCCGGCCCUAGAGGUGUGCAAGCUGUAUGGUUGCACAGGGCGCCGUGGACGCAAGGGGUGCCAUGUGGCCGACACAGCUCACACUUCCUGUGCAAGACAUGCACAGAGCUCUCCUAUAAUGCAGGAGUGCAGGCAGCACUGAACCUGGAGGAGGAUUUAAUUAUCCUCCAACUAGGUGUAUCGGAUAAGGCAGAGGGUGGAGCUUCACGAGUAGGGCUAAAUGAGCGGCUGGACCUACAUGCAGCAGGAACUUGUGAACACUGUGGGGGAUGCAGGAAGGUGUCCCUGCUCCCCAGACACCUAAACACCUAAACACCAGCCAGCACAUAAUGAAAGAAGGUGAGAGAGAAAGAGAGAGAGAGUGUGUGUGUAUGUGACUGUCUGUAACCGGAUGUAAGCCCUCUUCAACCUAUUGUUCCUGAAAGUUUUAGUAAUUGUCUCAUUUAUUGUUAAAUCUCCCCCUUUGAUAAGAUUGUAAAACACAACGGAAUAAUAAUCCUAUACAAAUAUUACACCCCUUUACACACACUAUACAUGAAAAAAAAACGUAUGACCAGGGAGGGACGCUGUGAAAUGUUUUUGCACAGGGCGCCUAAAGGGUGACAAAAAUUGCGCUGGAUGACAAAAAUUCACUUAACGAACUCGAAGUCCCUCUAGUGGCUGUCUGUUAGACUGCCACUAGAGGUGGUUAACCCUGGAUAGUAAUUAUUGUAGCUUACUAAAAACUGCAAUUAUUACUAUGGCAAGGUACCCCAGGCACCCAGACCACUUGUGCCCAUUGGAGUGGUCUGGGUGCCAACUACCACGACCCUUAACCCUGCAAGUAUAAUUAUUGCAGUUUUCAGAAACUGCAAUAAUUACCAUGCAGGGUUAAGUCCUCUUCUAGCAGCUGUCUAUCAGACAGCCACUAGAGGGGCUUCUGUGUUCUUAGAACACGAAAAGUGUGUUAUACGAUGCUGGACAUCCUCACGCUAUGUGAGGACCUCCAGCGUCACCGAAACCCCCUUUGAAAAACACUGAAUAAUGCUUUCCUAACGGGAGGUAUAAUGCGCAUGUGCGGCUAUCGCCGCGCAUACGGUCUUCCCCACCAGCUGCCAUCGGCGGGGGAGGAGAGUAGGCGGAGGCUGUCCCAGCCCUGAGGGACAUCGGCACUGGACUCCGGUAAGUCACUGAAGUGGUUUUAACCCCUUCAGCAACUUGGGAUGGGGGGUGGGAGGGAGAGGGGCACUACAGGGUUCUGCAGUGCCAGGAAAACUAAUCAUUUCCUAGCACUAGGGAAUCCCUUUAAGGGACAAUGAAAUACGCACCAAGACCACUUCAAUGAGGUUCCUAUACUGUCCCUUUAAAGCGGCUGUGUCACUUUUCCUAUAACAUUAGCAAAAAGUAGGAGGAGCACAGCAGCAAGUAAAGCCAUAGCAGAUAACAGACAGCAGGCAGAGCAUCAACAGCUGCCAAAGGAUCUGCCCCGGGCGCUGAAAGACUCCCCCAGCUCAGCCUUUGAGUGAGCCGACAUUGUAACCGACUAUCAAGUACCGAGCUCGCGGCUCUCUGCUGGAGGAGACUGGAAAGCGCUUGAUGUUUGUUUUG